GGGAUGAGUGUGAGUUAUGUAGUAUUUGUUUGUCCAGAUACAGGGAGGGGAUGGGGCAGGGCGCCAGAGUUCUUCCAUGCAUGCACAAGUUCCAUAAGGCCUGCAUCGAUAAAUGGUUUAACAUGUGCCGGAAAACUUGUCCAGUGUGCAGGUUUUCCAUGGGAGCUGAAGAAAAUUUUCAGAAAAGGGAGGAACUAACUGAAGAGAUGGUGAUAUGGUUUUCUUCCUUCCAUGUAGCUGGCUUCUAAGGGGUUCCCUUGGAUCAGGAUCAUUUGCAGUAUUCUUACGGUCUAUAUCUUCUGCAACAGAGAAAGAGUUCCCUUGUUUUUUGGCCACCUGACCUGCUAUAUCUAGCUUCUUGAAUACCCUUUUUAAAUUUGCACAGUAGCAUUUGCAAGAAAGGCAUUUGAUCUCCUCAUGUCACCAUCAUCCCUCG